ACGAGCACAGAGGAGCUUGCUCCUUGGGUGGCGAGUGGCGGACGGGUGAGGAAUACAUCGGAAUCUACUCUGUCGUGGGGGAUAACGUAGGGAAACUUACGCUAAUACCGCAUACGACCUACGGGUGAAGCAGGGUGAUCUUCGGACCUUGCGCGAUUGAAUGAGCCGAUGUCGGAUUAGCUAGUUGGCGGGGUAAAGGCCCACCAAGGCGACGAUCCGUAGCUGGUCUGAGAGGAUGAUCAGCCACACUGGAACUGAGACACGGUCCAGUCUCCUACGGGAGGCAGCAGUGGGGAAUAUUGGACAAUGGGCGCAAGCCUGAUCCAGCCAUACCGCGUGGGUGAAGAAGGCCUUCGGGUUGUGAAGUACUUUCAGCGGGGAGGAAGGCGAUAAGGUUAAUAACCUUUGGUCAAUUGACGGUUACCCGGC
rnacentral:rRNA from 1 species